ACGUAAAGGAGUUGCUCAGAAGGCCAGCCUCUCUCUGCUUAAGGUUAUUUCAGUGAAGGCUUGAACCAGGCAGAACAUUUUCCCUCAAGUUUUGGAAUCAUACAUCUGAAACACGUGAUGGAAACCCAGGCCCAUUAUCUGGUGAAUGGUUUUUCUGAUAAGAGAUGUAAAUGUUGGCUGAUAAAAGCUAAAUCAGAGGAAAGUUAUCUUGAAGAAAAAUGAAUAAUAACUUAACCAAAGAACUACUCUUAUAAGGUGAAUCCAGGCAAACAGAACAAGACAAAAAACAAACAGGCUGAGCACUCUCCCCUCCUUCCUUAACUGGAGCUACACAGAAGGAGUUGAGUGAUGGUAGAUAUCAGGCCCUGGUCUGCGGCUUGGAAGUUUCCUGUGAAUAAGAAAAACAUCAUCGCUUCUUGAGUCACAAGGAUGAUAGGAUGAGAAAAAGAAAGGACAAAGGCACCAGAGGAGGUAUGCCAAAUGGGAAACUUUUCAUCACUUUCCAGAUAAAAACUAGCAGUCUGUGAAGGCAACUGGUCUGAUUUUUCAGGAACCAGACACUGGAACAUGUCGUCUGAUGUACAUCACACCAAGAAAUAAAAAAAGAAUUGGAAAGCCAAUGUCCAAUUAUUUACUAAAACAGAAUCCACUGGAGAGAAAUGCAAAGGCAGGUAAAAAGGCAAUCUCUUAACAUGAAAACUCACAACUGUAAAAUGAGAACCUAAACUAUACAGCGACAAACUCAGGAAAAAGUCUCCAGCUACUGCUGUCUCUCAGACUCUCACAGUAUGUGUAACCACUUCCUCCUCUGCACGGAAUCACCCCAGAAGAUCAACUCUACUAGAUCAUUUGAGGACAAUGAACAAAGUCUCAAGACUGAAUUCCCACAGAAAACAUUCUCAUGAAACCACCCAAUAUUCUGGUGAAGUUAAAGAAGGGCAUGUGUUCGGAGACAACCAGAAGCAGCAAUGCUCAAAACCACAAAACUCUGGAUUGCCGACUCUGCACAUCCUGGUUCCUCUAGAUACAGUUCAGUGGCACAUUCACAAAUAAACGUUUUCAAAAACUGCCCUCAGGCAGUUCUAGAGAAAUGCUUUGACUUGCCUAAUGGUAUAAUGUCAAGAAAGGAAGACGAGCACUGAUCAUUCAUACUCAUUAUUACAGUCACAGGGCACUGUCUGACUUGACAGAUACAGCCGAGCAGUUAAAAGGUUAUGGGAAUUUAAGUCCAUUAUGGUCAUACGAUUCUUAUGGACCCAGAGAUAUGAAAUUAAUCAGCCACAUGUGUAGGGACAAAGUUUGUCAUAAAUAGAUAUAAGUUAUCUGCAUGCUAAGAACUUAGUUACUUAACUCUGUUUCCUCAUGUUAAUAUAAACAUAAUUAUAGAAUGCAAAUGAAAUACUUAGCCUGGAGCCUAUUAUAUAGGAAGCACUCAAUAAUUUCAAACUAUUGAGUAUAUUAUUAGAUAGGCUCCAUAAUUAUUUAUUCCUUUUUCAACAGACAGUAUGAUCUAUUGAAAAUAAAGCCAAACUAGAUUUCUUUGACCCACUCCUUUUUCUGUUUGUAUUGUUGGCAAGUUGUUCUAAAUCAACUUGCCAACAUACUAUUAACAUGUUAUUAACAUAGAAGGGAUGCUUAUUUUGUUUGCUUUGUAAGAAAUGCUUCUGAUUCAGUAACUGGGCAAUUUAUUUAAAUAUAAGUAAAAAGCAGAUUUUAUUAAAAACUACUUUGUGCUAUCAUAAAUAACUCAUUGUUCUCUGUGAUUCAGAAGUGGAUUUAUUAUUCUUUUGGGGUUGGGGAAGGCACUGAGACUGGUUUCAGCACUGAUAUUUUGCUUUGGUCCACAGACAGUCCAAGUCUAAUGAGUUACUAAAGGAAAAUGACAUUUUACUGAACUGUUUUCUUCAUAAAUAUAACAGAAUGUAGGAAAAAUCAACAGUAAAACAGAUGUACCUAAAAUAUUAUUAUUCCUCAUGUAAGAAAACCAUCUUGAAA
rnacentral:lncRNA from 1 species